GGAUUAGAUCCAGGUUUCAACAUGGGGCCUUGGACGGGUUCACCAAUAGCCGAUCUGAGGUGUGACUGCCUGUUUUUUUUAUGUAGAUGAAGCAGCUAGGGCAAGUUACAACAGUCCCGCUAUCCCCGAAUAACAUCCUGGAGGAACGCUGGGUAACGAUUGCCUAAACCAGGACAUGAACCAGGACCCACCUCAGAAUGAGAAGCGCACAAAGCGCCGGGCCGGCGUACCUUGAUGAGCGUGUCCGGGGGGAUGCCGUCCGUGUGCAGAGUACAAGUCUCUCCGCUCACGUCGGCCGUCUUGGACAUCUGUGUGCUGCUCAUCUGGACAGAAGAAUUUAAAAGGGAAACGUCGGACCAGUUGCGGCGCCAAUGUGGUUCAUUUAUCACCAAACAACAUCGGGGGGGAUUUUGCACAAACAGUCAUCAGUCGGUCUGAUGCUGCAGCCGCUCGGCACGGAGGCAGAUGGAAAUGUCGUGAUGUCUUUGACCCGAUGGAAGCGUUGAAUGAAAAGUCAAGAGGAUCACGUCAAGUCAGUAUCAGGCCAUCCAUCAGGAAGCACAAACAUCUGUAACGCUGAGGAGGUGUUUGUGGACACACCGUUAACAAACAUUGACACAGGAGACGAAUAGAAAAAAGCUAUUUCACUGCAGUUUAGUAACACGUGGGCUUCGUUCCCAGGCUCCAUAUUUCCUCAUCAGGGUUAUUCCGUAUGUCAUUGUCAGCAUGGAGGUUUCAGAGUUUAAAAAAUACACUUUCUUUCUCAAGAUCAUGUGGCUUUACAGUAGUGAGUCCAGAAACGGGAAGUUCAGUGGGGAAACAGAAGGGAACGGGUCCUUAUUUCACUUCCACCUGUUAUCCAUCGGCAGACCGCUCCAAACACACUCUGCGGUGUGAGGAACACGGCGACAAAGAACGGCCCUGUUUAUCGGUUAAAGGAAGCAUCUCGCUUGGGAACUGUCCCAAGUCCCCUGCGGAGGUCAGAGGUCACGUAUUGAGAGCGCACACACACACACACACACACACACACGAUGCCUCCAACUCCGCUUCACUCACCGGAAGUCGAAUCGAACGACCACAGGAUCAAUUCAAUUAGGUUUCUGAGUACCACUAAAUAAAGAAAUAGUAAUAUAUUGGAAGCCGGAUGAUAAGAAUAAAGUAUUUUAAAGUG